UUGAAACAAUCUCUAUUGAACCAGGCUCCAAACCAAGUUCACUGGAGUUUGUUUCAAUA
rnacentral:pre_miRNA from 1 species